CCUACGGGGGGCUGCAGUGGGGAAUAUUGGACAAUGGGGGCAACCCUGAUCCAGCCAUGCCGCGUGUGUGAAGAAGGCCCUCGGGUUUUAAAGCACUUUCAGUGAGGAAGAACGCCUGGUGGUUAAUACCCAUCAGGAAAGACAUCACUCACAGAAGAAGCACCGGCUAACUCCGUGCCAGCAGCCGCGGUAAUACGGAGGGUGCGAGCGUUAAUCGGAAUUACUGGGCGUAAAGCGCGCGUAGGUGGCUUGAUAAGCCGGUUGUGAAAGCCCCGGGCUCAACCUGGGAACGGCAUCCGGAACUGUCAAGCUAGAGUGCAGGAGAGGAAGGUAGAAUUCCCGGUGUAGCGGUGAAAUGCGUAGAGAUCGGGAGGAAUACCAGUGGCGAAGGCGGCCUUCUGGACUGACACUGACACUGAGGUGCGAAAGCGUGGGUAGCAAACAGGAUUAGAUACCCUAGUAGUC
rnacentral:rRNA from 1 species